UAUCCCCAACAGCUAGCCCAACCUCAAAACACAACAAACAACAUUAAUAACCCCCAAAGAACAAAACACUUAUUAAACAAACCAUUUUUCCCCCCGAGUAUGGGAGACAGAAAAGGACCUAUGGAGCAAUAGAAAAAGUACCGCAAGGGAAAGCUGAAAGAGAAAUGAAAAAACGCAGUAAAGGAUAAGAAAGCAGAGACUAAUACUCGUACCUUUUGCAUCAUGAUUUAGCCAGUCCCUUCGAGCAAAGAGUCACUUUAUGUUCGAAACCCCGAAACUAAGCGAGCUACUCCAAGACAGCCUAUUGUAGGGCAAACCCGUCUCUGUGGCAAAAGAGUGGGAAGAGCUUUGAGUAGAGGUGACAGACCUACCGAGCCUAGUUAUAGCUGGUUGCCUGAGAAUUGAAUAGAAGUUCGACCUUUUUAUUUCUUUAACCCAAAAAGGACACGCCAGCCUCCGGCUAAAAGAAAUUUUAAGAGCAAUUCAAGGGAGGGACAGCUCUCUUGAAAAAAGACACAACUUUACUAGAAGGUAAAAGACUAAACAACUAAAGGCAAAAUACCCAGGUGGGCCUAAAAGCAGCCAUCCUAAAAGAAAGCGUUAAAGCUCAAGUAUUCAAAACCCCCACAAUCCUAAAAAAGAACUCUUACACCCCUUAACAGUAUCAGGCCCUUCCAUGCAACCAUGGAAAAGAUUCUGCUAAAAUGAGUAAUAAGAAAGAUCAGACUUUCUCCCAAGCGCCCGUGUAAUCAGAACAGACACUAACUGAAAAUUAACGCCCCCAAAAACAGAGGGAAAUGAGAGAAUUAAACUUAAGCCUAGAAGCCCCCUCAAAAGAAAGCGUUGGCCCAACACAGGAGCACCUAAGGAAAGACUAAAAGAAAAAGAAGGAACUCGGCAAACACUGGCCUCGCCUGUUUACCAAAAACAUCGCCUCUUGCAGAACUUGUAUAAGAGGUCCCGCCUGCCCUGUGACGUAAGUUUAACGGCCGCGGUAUUUUGACCGUGCGAAGGUAGCGUAAUCACUUGUCUUUUAAAUAGAGACCUGUAUGAAUGGCAUAACGAGGGCUAAGCUGUCUCCUUUUUCCAGUCAAUGAAAUUGAUCUGCCCGUGCAGAAGCGGGCAUGCACCCAUAAGACGAGAAGACCCUAUGGAGCUUAAGACACAGUGGCAGACUACGUUAAACCCCCUUUAUAAAAAGAUAAGAACCAAGUAGCAACUGUCCCCCUGUCUUUGGUUGGGGCGACCGCGGGGAAACAAAAAACCCCCACGUGGAAGGGGACCAAGCCCCUGAUGCCAGAGCCACAGCUCUAACAAACAGAACAUCUGACCAACAAGAUCCGGCAAAGCCGAUCAACGGACCGAGUUACCCUAGGGAUAACAGCGCAAUCCCCUUUUAGAGCCCAUAUCGACAAGGGGGUUUACGACCUCGAUGUUGGAUCAGGACAUCCUAAUGGUGCAGCCGCUAUUAAGGGUUCGUUUGUUCAACGAUUAAAGUCCU
rnacentral:rRNA from 1 species